UACGUAGGGUGCAAGCGUUGUCCGGAAUUAUUGGGCGUAAAGAGCUCGUAGGCGGCUUGUCACGUCGGAUGUGAAAAUCCAGGGCUCAACCCUGGACCUGCAUUCGAUACGGGCAGGCUAGAAUUCGGUAGGGGAGACUGGAAUUCCUGGUGUAGCGGUGAAAUGCGCAGAUAUCAGGAAGAACACCCGUGGCUAAGGCGGCUCUCUAGUACGGUACUGACGCUGAGACGCGAAAGCGUGGGGAGCGAACAGG
rnacentral:rRNA from 1 species